GCGAGGGACAAGGCCCUGAUGUAACACACAGCCCAGCGAGGGACAAGGCCCUGAUGUAACACACAGCCCAGCGAGGGACAAGGCUCUGAUGUAACACACAGCCCAACGAGGGACAAGGCCCUGAUGUAACACACAGCCCAGCGAGGGACAAGGCCCUGAUGUAACACACAGCCCAGCGAGGGACAAGGCCCUGAUGUAACACACAGCCCAGCGAGGGACAAGGCCCUGAUGUAACACACAGCCCAGCGAGGGACAAGGCCCUGAUGUAACACACAGCCCAGCGAGGGACAAGGCCCUGAUGUAACACACAACUCUCAGCGUCUCAAAAAAAUCUAUUAACUUCUUAAGGAUCUGACACUUAAAAAAUAAAUUAAAAAAUGUCCUAAAAUGACGUAGCCAAAUCUAACUGGCUGUAGCUCUGGACCUGAAGUAAGGAUAUGCAUAUUAUUGAUACCACUUGAAAGGAAAUACUUUGAAGUCUCAAAAAGCUGUCUCCCUUUUCUAUGAAGAGCACCGUGAGUUGUGACACGGGUCGUUGAGAUGGCAACUGAGAUUUAAUAACAGCGCCUGAUAAAAAUACUUUUUACUGUUAGGGAGGACCUGUUGGUCCCUCCAUUAAAGAGACUGUCAAUGUUCAGACUGAACCCUUAACUGACGCCUGAGCUGGGAAAAUAGAUUCAAGUUGUUCAAUCUAGUAGCGCCAUCUAUUGACUACAGAAAGUAUAGCAACAAGUAAUGUCUAUUUUAAUGGUCGUGUCUGUCAGAACCAAAUUCCAUCCUUCCUUUGGUUUGUUACCUAUUGUCUUAACCUUUACCAGUAUGUAUGGAGGGGUAGAAGAUGGUGGCCUGUAUCACAUCCUCACCUAACUGAGGUUUAUUUCAAUCAAUGAAGAGAGGUAAUAUGGUGUCAGUGAAUCAAGUCUUGUCAUUUAGAUAGAGCCUCAGCAAGAGAACAGAGACAUGUUACUGAAGAAAGAGAGUAGUGUUCAUCAGAUGAAAUGUUCGGGGGGGUUUUUCACCAUCUCCUGGCAGAAUUGUGGUCAAAUCAUGUUCUAUGUGCCAUAUACAGAGGCUUUCAUCAUGGGGUCUGUCCAACACAGCGAUAAGAGUUGGAGAGGUUUUAUUAGUGAAGGAUACCGUGGUCAGUCAGAGAGGUUUUAUUAGUGAAGGAUACCGUGGUCAGUUGGAGAGGUUUCAUUAGUGAAGGAUACCGUGGUCAGUUGGAGAGGUUUUAUUAGUGAAGGAUACCGUGGUCAGUCAGAGAGGUUUUAUUAGUGAAGGAUACCGUGGUCAGUUGGAGAGGUUUCAUUAGUGAAGGAUACCGUGGUCAGUUGGAGAGGUUUUAUUAGUGAAGGAUACCGUGGUCAGUCAGAGAGGUUUUAUUAGUGAAGGAUACCGUGGUCAGUCAGAGAGGUUUUAUUAGUGAAGGAUACCAUGGUCAGUCAGAGAGGUUUCAUUAGUGAAGGAUACCGUGGUCAGUUGGAGAGGUUUUAUUAGUGAAGGAUACCAUGGUCAGUCGGAGAGGUUUUUCAUUAGUGAAGGAUACCGUGGUCAGUCAGAGAGGUUUCAUUAGUGAAGGAUACCGUGGUCAGUUGGAGAGGUUUUAUUAGUGAAGGAUACCGUUUUAUUAGUGAAUGAUACCGUGGUCAGUCGGAGAGGUUUUAUUAGUGAAGGAUACCGUGGUCAGUCAGAGAGGUUUCAUUAGUGAAGGAUACCGUGGUCAGUCGGAGAGGUUUCAUUAGUGAAGGAUACCGUGGUCAGUCGGAGAGGUUUCAUUAGUGAAGGAUACCGUGGUCAGUCGGAGAGGUUUUCCUCCCUUGUUUUCUUCUCCUCCUUUCUGCCAUUUUCACACUCAGUCCAUCUCACCACAUCUCUAGCAUGACAGUAGACUCUCCAAAGCACUGCAGUCAAACUGCAAGUCUCAAAACUAAAUGAAAGUAACUUCAGCCAUAACCGAAUGUCAAGCAGUAAUGAUAUCAAUGUUGGAUUUUUUUUUAUCUUGUGUAUGGUCUCAAAUAUUGCAUGUCGAUAAAUUCUAAUGUAUCACACUUGACUUUUAUUUUUUUUGUUCUCUUCUAUAUUCUGAAUUCUGUGUUUUAUUGUUUCACCUUCAUGUAUGACUAGUUCUGUUCUCUGCUUCUGCUUAAACUCACCGGAUGGAAUUACCUAUAGAUUCUGUCUAUACAACAUACUGCUUAUAGAUUCUGUCUAUACAGACCAAGUGAGAGCAACAUACUGCUUAUAGAUUCUGUCUAUACAACAUACUGCUAUAGAUUCUGUCUAUACAACAUACUGCUCAUAGAUUCUGUCUAUACAACAUACUGCUAUAGAUUCUGUCUAUACAACAUACUGCUAUAGAUUCUGUCUAUACAACAUACUGCUAUAGAUUCUGUCUAUACAACAUACUGCUAUAGAUUCUGUCUAUACAACAUACUGCUAUAGAUUCUGUCUAUACAACAUACUGCUAUAGAUUCUGUCUAUACAACAUACUGCUUAUAGAUUCUGUCUAUACAACAUACUGCUAUAGAUUCUGUCUAUACAACAUACUGCUAUAGAUUCUGUCUAUACAACAUACUGCUAUAGAUUCUGUCUAUACAACAUACUGCUAUAGAUUCUGUCUAGAUGUUGGAACAUUACUGUGGGGAGACUUGCUUCCAUUUAAAUUUUCAUUGGGUAGAUAAGUAGAACGUGAGAUUAUUUUAGUUGUUCUUCAGGCGUGUGAUGCUAGGUUCCUUCAGUGAGCAGACCCUUGGGUUCUAGACCGUUCUAGACUAAGCCACCAUGUUGUUUCCAUAGAGUACCAACGGGUUGUAGAUGUUAAGACUAAGUGAUUAUUAUUCCCGGCUGGUACCUGUAUCAGUGUGUCAGCCUUGGCUGGUUGGGACUGUAUUUAUUUCAUUUGUAAAUGUCACGUUGUUAGGGGAUGAAACUGUUUUAUACAGAGUACUGAACCACGGAGUUUCUAGUCUUAAAAAAAACGUGUUUGUUGAAAUGUAUUAUUAUUUUUAUUUAAACCUGUGUAAAGACGUUAUUGUGAAAGCCAUUUGGUUGGAGCUGAAGUACUGGACUGACUGUCUAUAACUCAUCAGACCUGACCAACAUGGCUGGUUACUGGACUGACUGUAUCUAUAACUCAUCAGACCUGACCAACAUGGCUGGUUACUGGACUGACUGUAUCUAUAACUCAUCAGACCUGACCAACAUGGCUGGUUACUGGACUGACUGUCUAUAACUCAUCUUCCUGACCAACAUGGCUGGUUACUGGACUGACUGUCUAUAACUCAUCAGAGCUGACCAACAUGGCUGGUUACUGGACUGACUGUAUCUAUAACUCAUCAGACCUGACCAACAUGGCUGGUUACUGGACUGACUGU
rnacentral:lncRNA from 1 species